rnacentral:rRNA from 1 species
AGAAUCAACGCUGGCGGCGUGCCUAACACAUGCAAGUCGCACGAGAAAGGGACUUCGGUCCUGAGUACAGUGGCGCACGGGUGAGUAACACGUGAAUAAUCUACCUCCGAGUGGGGAAUAACUGAGAGAAAUCUUAGCUAAUACCGCAUAACACUUACGAGUCAAAGCAGCAAUGCGCUUGGAGAGGAGUUCGCGGCAGAUUAGUUAGUUGGCGGGGUAAUGGCCCACCAAGACGAUGAUCUGUAUCCGGCCUGAGAGGGCGCACGGACACACUGGAACUGAAACACGGUCCAGACUCCUACGGGAGGCAGCAGUGGGGAAUUUUGCGCAAUGGGGGAAACCCUGACGCAGCAACGCCGCGUGGAGGAUGAAAUCCCUUGGGAUGUAAACUCCUUUCGAUCGGGAAGAUAAUGACGGUACCGAGAGAAGAAGCCCCGGCUAAACUUCGUGCCAGCAGCCGC